UUUCCGUUGGUGAACCAGCGGAGGGAUCAUUACAGGACUCGCAAGACUCCUUCACCCUGUGAACCUCACUACAAGCACGUUGCUUCGGCGGGUGUCCCGGCGGGGGUUUUCCCUCGCCGGGGCGCACAGCCCGCCGGCAGCCUACUAUACUCUGUCUCUUUGCGUUGGCAUCUCGAGUACAAUCAAACAAGUUAAAACUUUCAACAACGGAUCUCUUGGUUCUG
rnacentral:misc_RNA from 1 species